GGACUACCGGGGUAUCUAAUCCUGUUUGCUCCCCACGCUUUCGCACCUCAGCGUCAGUACCGAGCCAGUGAGCCGCCUUCGCCACUGGUGUUCUUGCGAAUAUCUACGAAUUUCACCUCUACACUCGCAGUUCCACUCACCUCUCUCGGACUCGAGACAUCCAGUAUCGAAGGCAGUUCUGGAGUUGAGCUCCAGGAUUUCACCACCGACUUAGAUGCCCGCCUACGUGCGCUUUACGCCCAGUGAUUCCGAGCAACGCUAGCCCCCUUCGUAUUACCGCGGCGGCUGGCAC
rnacentral:rRNA from 1 species